GACGAACGCUGGCGGCGUGCUUAACACAUGCAAGUCGAACGGAGAACUUUCUUCGGAAUGUUCUUAGUGGCGAACGGGUGAGUAACGCGUAGGCAACCUGCCCUCUGGUUGGGGACAACAUUCCGAAAGGGAUGCUAAUACCGAAUGAGAUCCUCUUUCCGCAUGGAGAGAGGAUGAAAGAUGGCCUCUACUUGUAAGCUAUCGCCAGAAGAUGGGCCUGCGUCUGAUUAGCUAGUAGGUGAGGUAACGGCUCACCUAGGCGAUGAUCAGUAGCCGGUCUGAGAGGAUGAACGGCCACAUUGGGACUGAGACACGGCCCAAACUCCUACGGGAGGCAGCAGUGGGGAAUCUUCCGCAAUGGACGAAAGUCUGACGGAGCAACGCCGCGUGAGUGAUGAAGGCCUUCGGGUUGUAAAACUCUGUUGUCAGGGACGAAAGCACCGAUCUAUAAUACAUUUUGGUGUUGACGGUACCUGACGAGGAAGCCACGGCUAACUACGUG
rnacentral:rRNA from 1 species